rnacentral:rRNA from 1 species
GACGAACCGUGCGAACGUUGUUCGGAAUCACUGGGCUUAAAGGGCGCGUAGGCGGGCUGCCGCGUCCGGGGUGAAAUCCCACGGCUCAACCGUGGAACUGCCCCGGAUACGGGCGGCCUCGAGGGGGGUAGGGGCAUCUGGAACUGUGAGUGGAGCGGUGAAAUGCGUUGAUAUUCACAGGAACUCCGGUGGCGAAGGCGAGGUGCUGGACCCCUCCUGACGCUGAGGCGCGAAAGCCAGGGGAGCAAACGGG